GAUAUUAAACAAGAGCUGAAAGAGUCUCCACCUACAAACACUUGCAUUAUAAAACAGGAGGUCUGUGUGCAGACAGGAGGCUGAUCACAUCCACGAUGAGAGGACUCACACUGCUCUGUUUGGUGGGAUUUAUUCUCACAGCGUCGACCGCACACUGGCACCCUCUCGAAAAUCCUCUUUCUUUUCCAACUGAACCAACAAGCAACGAGACCUUGCAUCCAAAUAAUUCUACUCAUGCUGGAAAU